rnacentral:snoRNA from 1 species
CUGAGCCUAUGAUGUACUGUUAUCCCUGUCUGACACUCAGCUGUGAGGAGAAACCUUCCACUGAGGCUUAU